CAGACCCAGGCUUCAGUGGGAUUCCUGGUGGGCUAGAAACCACAAUUGCAGCAGAGAAGGAAUUAAAGGUCGAUGAGCUGCCAAAUGGUGAUGUGGUUAUUCAAGUCAUACCAGAAUCAGAUUCAGAAGCAGAGAGACGUGCAGUGUUCGAUUUGGACACGAUAUAAUUAGACAGAGGAAGCCAGUCCACCGGCAAGGAAUUCCCAAGUAGAAUGCAAUCCUCGAGUAAUCAGCAAGUGAAAAAAAUGAAAACAUCUCUCCAGGAAAAGGUGCAGACAGCUCAACUGGAAUGGUUCGAAGGACAAAAUAAAAAAGUUGAGCUGGAGAUGGAACUUUUGAGGGAAAAGAUCGCAACGUCUAGGGAGAAAAGGAAGCUGUUUAAAGCUUUGCAGACAGAGUUGAAGGGGAAGGAUGACAUGGACAUAAUUCCAUUAGUUUGUGACGAAUAGGGUAAGUGGAUCAGUUAACAGAAAUGCAUAGAACACGUAACUUUACUUUGUUACAUCAAAACAACA